AUCGCUUCUUGGCCUUUUGGCUAAGAUCAAGUGUAGUAUCUGUUCUUAACCAGUUUAAUAUCUGAUACAUCCUCUAUCCAAGGACAAGAUAUUAAAUGGAUUUUUGGACAUGGGAGAUGGAACAGAUUACUUUGUCCACUCCAUGUACUGGCCUGGUAUUGCAACCCCCUUGGGGUAAAUAAAAGUUGU